CGCUGGCCUGUGUAGCAUCUACUCAUUACAUUACCACCUAUGAGGAGUACCAGGUGCGAGAGAAGAAGUGAGAUUUUGAGUGGUAUCAGAUCGCUGCUCCAGAUCAGAUCGCAAAAUAGCUGACAAUCACUUAUUACAGUUAUUUCUCGAAGAUCCAGCAUUGCAAAGGAGCAUCCACUAUCUCUGCAUAUAUCCAGAAGUUUUGAGGCCAUUGCAGAGGUGAGGACCACAUACUGCACAGGAAACUGGGACAAUGUUUGCACAGAUGCAUCUUGGGAGUCAAGGUUUAACUGGGUAAAGAAUGGAGCAGAGAGUAAUGUUACCAUUGAGUGGCACAUCCUCCUGUCAGCCCAGACUUUCUCCUACCGGAUCAGACACUUCGGACAAUACAAACAGAGGAAGGGGAUCACAGAUCCUGUGAUUCCAGUGAAUGGGGGUGUGUCAGAGAUCUUCGGAGUCUCCAAAAGAACAUAUUACUAAUAACCGCUGGUCACUGAGUAAGACCAAAUAGGGCACAUUAUAGUGUACACUUCUAGUGACCCGCAUUUGAUGAUGUAUUUAUGUUCUCUAUUUCAAUGCAGUUCAAUGUAUUUACAGCAUUGAAGUACUAAAUGUAUUUAUUUUACCUUUACUAGGCAUGCCAGUUAAGAACAAAUUCUUAUUUUCAAUGACGGCCUAGGAACAGUGGGUUAAGUGCCUGUUCAGGGGCAGAACGACAGAUUUGUACCUUGUCAGCUCGGGGAUAUGAACUUGCAACCUUUCAGUUACUAGUCCAACGCUCUAACCACUAGGCUACCCUGCCGCCCGGGGCGGACCAGUGCUUCAAUACGCAACCGGGCUUUGGGUUGACGGGCAACAAGCCAUUACGCUGAAUGGAGGCUGUGCUCAACAGGAUGAUGGCGGAAAUAUGUUUUGAAUGUAGGGCAGCUUCAGUGCCCUUCCAUAGCUCAUCUCCCAUGGAAAUGAAGAUCAUUUGUUUAUGAUCAGUUGAUUCACGUUUUGUGUGUGUGUGUAAUUAUGUACAGUGCUUAUUUUGAAUAGAAUGACAUGAUUUAAA
ensembl:lncRNA